rnacentral:rRNA from 1 species
GACGAACGCUGGCGGCGUGCCUAAUACAUGCAAGUAGAACGCUGAAGGAGGAGCUUGCUUCUCUGGAUGAGUUGCGAACGGGUGAGUAACGCGUAGGUAACCUGCCUGGUAGCGGGGGAUAACUAUUGGAAACGAUAGCUAAUACCGCAUAACAGUAGAUAUCGCAUGAUAUCUACUUAAAAGGUGCAAUUGCAUCACUACCAGAUGGACCUGCGUUGUAUUAGCUAGUUGGUGAGGUAACGGCUCACCAAGGCGACGAUACAUAGCCGACCUGAGAGGGUGAUCGGCCACACUGGGACUGAGACACGGCCCAGACUCCUACGGGAGGCAGCAGUAGGGAAUCUUCGGCAAUGGACGGAAGUCUGACCGAGAAACGCCGCGUGAGUGAAGAAGGUUUUCGGAUCGUAAAGCUCUGUUGUAAGAGAAGAACGAGUGUGAGAGUGGAAAGUUCACACUGUGACGGUAUCUUACCAGAAAGGGACGGCUAACUACGUG